rnacentral:rRNA from 1 species
AGAGUUUGAUCCUGGCUCAGGAUGAACGCUGGCGGCGUGCUUAACACAUGCAAGUCGAACGAUGAUCUCCAGCUUGCUGGGGGGAUUAGUGGCGAACGGGUGAGUAACACGUGAGUAACCUGCCCUUAACUCUGGGAUAAGCCUGGGAAACUGGGUCUAAUACCGGAUAUGACUCCUCAUCGCAUGGUGGGGGGUGGAAAGCUUUUUGUGGUUUUGGAUGGACUCGCGGCCUAUCAGCUUGUUGGUGAGGUAAUGGCUCACCAAGGCGACGACGGGUAGCCGGCCUGAGAGGGUGACCGGCCACACUGGGACUGAGACACGGCCCAGACUCCUACGGGAGGCAGCAGUGGGGAAUAUUGCACAAUGGGCGAAAGCCUGAUGCAGCGACGCCGCGUGAGGGAUGACGGCCUUCGGGUUGUAAACCUCUUUCAGUAGGGAAGAAGCGAAAGUGACGG